GGCUUUUUGUCCUUUGGGCUGUGGUGAUCACAUUCCUCCUCAGUCAGGGUUGCAGGCCAAGAUCAGUCUGUAAGCAGCAACUUCAUGAGGACUGCAUGAAGCUUGAGCAGGCAGCCUUGUUUUCUGGCCUCAGACAAUG
rnacentral:snoRNA from 1 species